AUUGAACGCUGGCGGCAUGCCUUACACAUGCAAGUCGAACGGCAGCACGGGAGCAAUCCUGGUGGCGAGUGGCGAACGGGUGAGUAAUAUAUCGGAACGUGCCCAGUCGUGGGGAUAACGUAGCGAAAGCUACGCUAAUACCGCAUACGAUCUAUGGAUGAAAGCGGGGGAUCGCAAGACCUCGCGCGAUUGGAGCGGCCGAUAUCAGAUUAGGUAGUUGGUGAGGUAAAGGCUCACCAAGCCGACGAUCUGUAGCUGGUCUGAGAGGACGACCAGCCACACUGGGACUGAGACACGGCCCAGACUCCUACGGGAGGCAGCAGUGGGGAAUUUUGGACAAUGGGCGCAAGCCUGAUCCAGCAAUGCCGCGUG
rnacentral:rRNA from 1 species